UCCGUGAUGGGGACCUCAUUACAGGCCGAGGCAGCCCCGGCAGGUGUGGGAUAGGCGCACAGGUUGGUUCUGCCGUCCAGGAACUUUGCUCUCGAAUGGACCGCGACUUGCAGCCCCGCGGUGGCCCCUGCCGUGUAUGCCCGUGACAAGGUGGCGUGGAACAAUCGCCCAGUAACCCGGGCCUGCGGCUCAGGCUCACGGAGGAGAGGGGGGAGGGGCGGUUCCCCUCCAGGUCCCCGGCGUCCCGGACCCGGCGCAGCUCCAUGUUUCAAGGAUCAGUGGCAGUUCCCCAUAAGGCCUUUCUGCGGGAGGAGACACAGACUUCCAGAGAAGGCAAGCCGUUGUCCCAGGUCACGCAGCCUGUCGUGGAGAGCCCUCGUUUGACACCCCGGCUUCCUGGGCCUGACCAGCUGCCCCGGGGUGACCAGUAGUGGCUGCGCCUAUGAGGAAAGCCCUGGUCCCCCACUCAUAGCCUGACUGCACCCCGACAUGCUUCCGACUCGACGGUGACCCUAAACCUGCGAGCUGGGCCCUGGCAUCCCUCGGCCACAGUGAUUGGUUCAGAGCUAGCCAUGUGACCCGAGUCAAGCCAAUCAGAAUCAGGCAUGGGUUUGGUGGGGGCCCAGGAGGCGGGAGGGUUUCCGGUCCGCCGGGGUUGCAGACUCAAAGGAGGCAAAUGACGCUUGGAGCUCGGGGGUCUCUGUCCCAAGAACAAGGGGCCUGAGUAGUGGAUGCAGGGCACUCGGGAAAGCCGAGCCGAGACACAGAAAGUGACACGUCAUCUCACCUCGUGGAUCCGAGCUACGCCUGAAAUCGGGAACCAGGGACUCGGCCGUCGCUGGACGCUGUCUGCAGACUGUUUUUGCCGAGACCUGUUUAAGUUCGUUUGUUCACAACCCAAGAGGGCCCUGACCAAGCCACCCGGUUUCAUGCUCUCAAAGGACACGUCCCGUUAGGGUUUUUUCCUGUGCUGGAUGGGUCUUAAAAAAGGAGGCAUAAGGAAAGUUUGGUGGGCGGUAUAUCAUCUCGAUUCUGGUGAUGGUUGCGUGGAAAUACAUGUGUCAAAACCUGUCAAAUUACACAUUUUUGCGUAUUUAUACGUCCGUUACGCCUCAAUACAGUCAAAAGUAUUUAAGUAGCAUCACUAGCAUCAUUUCAGCGCCUGGAUCCAGCCAUGCCUGAAAGCAGCAAUUUGCACUUUCCAGCUAUAUAAGCCAAUAAAUGUCCUUUUGUGGGAAUAAUCAUUA